rnacentral:rRNA from 1 species
UCCGAAAUAUCACAGUUGUUGCAAUACGUUACUUCAACUUUAUUCUUUCGCCCUCAAAUCAGGUAGGACUACCCGCUGAACUUAAGCAUAUCAAUAAGCGGAGGAAAAGAAACCAACAGGGAUUGCCUCAGUAACGGCGAGUGAAGCGGCAAAAGCUCAAAUUUGAAAUCCUUCGGGAGUUGUAAUUUGUAGGUUGGGAGACCCCGCGGCUAGUGGCACCAAGUCCCUUGGAACAGGGCGCCUUAGAGGGUGAGAGCCCCGUAGGUACCACGACGCCGUCUUUGUGUCUCCUCUCCAAAGAGUCGAGUUGUUUGGGAAUGCAGCUCAAAGUGGGUGGUAAAUUCCAUCUAAAGCUAAAUACCGGCGAGAGACCGAUAGCGAACAAGUACAGUGAUGGAAAGAUGAAAAGCACUUUGAAAAGAGAGUGAAACAGUACGUGAAAUUGUUGAAAGGGAAGGGCUUGCAAGCAGACACGGCCUUCGUGCCGGGCCAGCAUCGGUUGCUAGGGGUGGAUAAGGAACAAGGAAUGUAGCUCCUCGGAGUAUUAUAGCCUUGCGCGAUACACCCACUGGCGACCGAGGCCUGCGGUAUUCUUUACCUAGGAUGCUGGCGUAAUGGUUGCAAGC